rnacentral:lncRNA from 1 species
AGCCUUUCUAGCCAUCCCGAAUAAUUAUAUCCCUCGUUAACCCCCUUUGAGCCUAUAUCCAUUUUUUUGUUUAAACACCAUAAAUGUAACCAUUAUCCAAAACACUUCUUCACCCUGUUCAGAGUCAUGAUAAUGCAUUCAAAGCUGUGUUGAAAAGCUAAGUUUGGGGUAAAAACCCCAAAAGCUCUCAAAGCCCAAGAAAGUGCAAAAACAAGAGAAAAAGAAAAAAAUGAUGAUCAAAGCUGUGUUGAAAAGCUAAGUUUGGGGUAAAAACCCCAAAAGCUCUCAAAGCCCAAGAAAGUGCAAAAACAAGAGAAAAAGAAAAAAA